rnacentral:rRNA from 1 species
GAUGAACGCUGGCGGCGUGCCUAAUACAUGCAAGUCGAGCGAACAGACGAGAGUGCUUGCACUCUCUGACGUUAGCGGCGGACGGGUGAGUAACACGUGGGUAACCUACCUAUAAGACUGGGAUAACUUCGGGAAACCGGAGCUAAUACCGGAUAAUAUUUAGCUUCGCAUGAAGCAAUAGUGAAAGACGGUUCUGCUGUCACUUAUAGAUGGACCCGCGGUGUAUUAGCUGGUUGGUGAGGUAACGGCUCACCAAGGCAACGAUACAUAGCCGACCUGAGAGGGUGAUCGGCCACACUGGGACUGAGACACGGCCCAGACUCCUACGGGAGGCAGCAGUAGGGAAUCUUCCGCAACGGACGAAAGUCUGACGGAGCAAUGCCGCGUGAGUGAAGAAGGUUUUCGGAUCGUAAAACUCUGUUGUAAGGGAAGAACAAGUACGUUAGUAACUGAACGUACCUUGACGGUACCUUACCAGAAAGCCACGGCUAACUACGUG